GGCUCAGGAUAAACGCUGGCGGCGUGCUUCAGGCAUGCAAGUCGAACGGAGCUUAGGGCUUCGGCCUUAAGGUCAGUGGCGGACGGGUGAGUAACACGUAAGUAACCUGCCCAGAAGUGGGGGAUAACUUGCCGAAAGGCGAGCUAAUACCGCAUGUGGUGCCGGGCCUUAUGGCCCUUCACUAAAGGCGUAAGCCGCUUCUGGAGGGGCUUGCGGCCGAUUAGCUAGUUGGUGGGGUAAUGGCCUACCAAGGCGACGAUCGGUAGCUGGUCUGAGAGGACGGUCAGCCACACGGGGACUGAGACACGGCCCCGACUCCUACGGGAGGCAGCAGCUAGGAAUCUUGGGAAUGCGCGAAAGCGUGACCCAGCAACGCCGCGUGAGCGAUGAAGGCCUUCGGGUUGUAAAGCUCUUUUGCGGGGGAAGAUGAUGACGGUACCCCGCGAAUAAGCCACGGCUAACUACGUGCCAGCAGCCGCGGUAAUACGUAGGUGGCAAGCGUUGUCCGGAUUUACUGGGCGUAAAGGGCGUGCAGGCGGUCCGUUAAGUUCAGGGUGAAAGCUCCCGGCUCAACUGGGAGAGGUCCUUGGAUACUGGCGGACUCGAGGGAGGUAGAGGAGAGUGGAAUUCCCGGUGUAGUGGUGAUAUGCGUAGAUAUCGGGAGGAACACCAGUGGCGAAGGCGGCUCUCUGGGCCUUACCUGACGCUGAGACGCGAAAGCGUGGGGAGCGAACCGGAUUAGAUACCCGGGUAGUCCACGCCGUAAACUAUGAACACUAGGUGUGGGGGGUAUCGACCCCCUCCGUGCCGAAGCUAACGCAAUAAGUGUUCCGCCUGGGGAGUACGGCCGCAAGGCUAAAACUCAAAG
rnacentral:rRNA from 1 species